GCGGCCGCGUCUGGGUUCGUUUGUUUAGUUUUGGUAGGACUUUAAGGCCAGCAGCGCUCGCUUCUUCGGAGUCGGCGCUGUUUCUGCGGUAGUACAUCAGGAGUUUGUACUUGGUUAUCCGCAGCGGUAUCCCGGUGCUUUCAGUCUCGCGUCGUUUCGCCAGCCUGGCGCAGUGCUUCAGUCCUGCAGUCACUGCUCUGUGUGGUUUGCCCGUCCCAUCCGCUUCAUGGCUCCCAGUCACCUUUUGUGGGUCAGUUCACUCCUGCGGUUGUGAUACUGGUACGUGCAUCUUCUCAACCAAAGCAAGCAGACAAACGAUGCGUGAAAGCAAAACGGGCCUACAGAUACGAAGUGAAAGUGAGUGCAGUAGUGUUGCAAAUCUCCGUUCAGGCUGUGUUUGUAUUGGCAGUGACGCGAGAGAGGGUUAGUGGUCUUAUUUAAUGUUAAGGGGCUUCUGAAAGGGCAUUGUUUUCACUGCUGUGAUGCGUUGCGAUAAAGGAACAAUGGGAUUUGUCAUGCGGACUGCAGGGGAAAACGAGAAGAGAGCAAACUGCCAAGGGGCUCCUUGAUGUCUGACUCCCUCAACAGGAGUGCCUGGGAGGCUGCUCCUAAGUGGUUCCAUGGUGUAAUGGUUAGCACUCUGGACUCUGAAUCCAGCGAUCCGAGUUCAAAUCUCGGUGGAACCUGAGAGUUUUUGUCCGGGAGGACAUUUGGCGAACGGCCGCCAACGUGGGGAAGUUGGGUGAUUCGUUGGCUUUUGGAGUGCUGUGAGUUACUGACCUGUGCUGCUGAAAUCAGGCGUAAAGGGGAAUAGAAAAGCGAGAGAGUCUUCUCAGUUUUUUCGUCUGUUUUUUUCUUUGCGUGUAUUUUUUGCAUCUAAGUUACUGCAUCGCUACGUGCCUUAUCUGUGUAAUUUCAGACCUGCUGCAGUGUGCUAAAGUGUAACUAGUUCCUUUCUGUGCGAUGAGCAACCCGCGUGAAAGAAGCAACUCGGUGCCAGCAGAACACGAGGCCGCCUGCUGAGCUCCGCAGCCCCUCCUGCUGUUCGCUUCACAUGUUUGAAAGCAGCAAUUUUCCUGCGCUGUUUCUCCCGGCAACCUCUGCCGCGUCCUGCAGUUAAUAGUUCAGCUGUCGUCAUCCUGUGUCGGACAUCGAAUAGGAGCAGAGAGGCAGAAGGCGAGCGGUUGGGCUGCCAUCAACGCUCUGUUCAGCGGUCGGUCGUGGUGGGGAGUUUUACUGCUGAGCAUGGAUGGUAAUUUAUUAUGCAGCACAGCAGAGGCGAGUGCCACCGUGCGGUUCUAUGGUGUAAUGGUUAGCACUCUGGACUUUGAAUCCAGCGAUCCGAGUUCAAAUCUCGGUAGAACCUGGUGAAGAGGGGUCACUUUUUCACGGCGGCGCAGAGAUUCCUGAAGGAGGAGCGCGUCCGAGGAGCCCUGAAAGCGCUGAGAGCCCGGGGGGGGGGGGGGGGGGGGAGCCUUUCCGUGGUGCCACCUGCAGUGCUGCUCUGUGUGUCUGAAAGGGGGCGAUGCAAGACGCGUGCUUUUGACAACACGAACAGGGAAGAUUUUGAUUUCCAAAUAGUUCUUACCCAAACUUAAUCAGGUCUUUCAUUAUUUUGCUAAUUCGGUACAUCUGGCUGUGGCCUCGCGUUGUACUCUGUGCAACUUCAGUAGUUUUACCUCUGCUUUGCUGCCACAAACCUUAUUUACUUCUAAGUGCCUAAGGAUGGCUCAAUUUCCCAGUACCUCCUCAGCAGCUGUCCCUGCUUGCUUACAAACGGGAUUCAGCCCUGCUCUGUUCCGUUCUGAAGAUCAGCUCAACCCUCUUUUACUUCCAGGUAACUAUCCACUCCCUUACUGUCCAUUGGAGAAAUGCAGACCGCCUCCACAGCUAGCCCUUACUUUAUGGAAUUCAGAAUCCUGCUUCAGAGAAUUAAUGAAAAUGUUUGCAAAAUUAAUUAAUUACAUCUUUGCCUGCCCUGCCGAUGCACAACAUCUCAAACUAACGUUGCACGCUGUAGCAGCACCCUGUUCUUUCAGCAGGGAUUGAUCCUGCUAUCCCAAGGUAGAUCUCUUUACUGCUCCUUGCGUGCUGGUGUUUUAAAUCAGUGCAACCAUCCAGCAGUGCAGACUUGCCCUAGCAGCACCAUCCUUCCCAGCUGAGAGCACUUCAGAGCCACUGGGUGCUCCUCUGCCUUGCAGUGAUGCACUGUGUGUAGUCAUAGAGAACACGUUACCAUUUCCAGCUGCUGCCCAGAAACUUGUUCCCUUCAGAGCACAGCUGGAAGCGUCUCUGUAAUCCCCAGCGCUCAUAAAGAGCUGAUGCAGUGUUGCUGUUACAGCCGCAUUCGUAUAAAUUCAAUCAUUGUAGAUUAGAACAAAGAGCACUUAAAGUCAAGUCCAAUUUUACAUGGAAUGAGACGUGAGUUCAUGAUCCAGUAUCAAGAUUUAUUAGGACGAUUCAUGGUCAUGCUCCAUUUGAACACAAAGCACUGCGGUUUCAGUAACUGAACAUUAUUAUCCAGAUGUAAUCCAGUUGAGACCGCUACGCACAAACAUGUUUGCCACUCUGUUUCUCUCCCUCUUCUUUACCUGCAGUGGAUAAACCAACACAAGGCUCUGUGGCUCAGGCAAACUUACUGGAAAAGGCAGAGCAAAAUUACUUUCCAACCCCUAGGAGCAGUCUCAGCACCAGGUACUGCGUAGCCCAAGGUACCUACUGCUCGAUGUGUUCAAGUCAGUAAUACCUCAAGGCAGCUUCCAAAUUAAAAUUUAGCAUUUCCAGUUACCCUCCCCCCAUCCCUUCAUUGUACUCCUUUCUAAAAAUCACCUGAAGGCAGAUCUCUCAGCACAACAUU